UACAGAGGGUGCAAGCGUGAAUCGGAAUUACUGGGCGUAAAGCGUGCGUAGACGGUUAUUUAAGUCAGGUGUGAAAGCCCCGGGCUCAACCUGGGAAUUGCAUUUGAGACUGAAUAGCUAGGGUGCGGAAGAGGGAAGCGGAAUUUCCGGUGUAGCGGUGAAAUGCGUAGAUAUCGGAAGGAACACCAGUGGCGAAAGCGGCUUCCUGGUCCAGCACCGACGUUCAGGCACGAAAGCGUGGGGAGCAAACAGG
rnacentral:rRNA from 1 species